rnacentral:lncRNA from 10 species
UUGGCAAUUAGAAGAUCAUUUUCCAGAGCAGCUCUAGUGCUGCAAACAAGGGAGAAGGCUUCCUGCAAUAGAUGUAAAAGAAGAAUAAGUUGAUACCAUUGUUCAUAGGAGGGGCUUGCUAAUGACAGAAAGGAGCAAGAUUGGAGAAGCAAAACAAAAAAUAAAAAUGAGGGGAAAUACCCUCUCUGUCUUUAUUUUUUCCCUCAUGCGAAGAUUUCAGUGCAUUGAUAUGCUGUGGAGGAGCGGCAGAUGAGAGGGAAGAUUGAAGGAGCAGGAGAGGAUGAAUCACCACCAACCAAACAAGCUCACAUAUGAGACACAAGGAAUGAGUUCAGGAGCACAAGAAGGCAGAUUAGUCUCUGCCCAGAGAGAAGGGACUUCUUCCUUGAUCGUGGAAAGUGAAGUUGAAGAAAUAGAAAUGUCCAUGAUAUGGCAGGAGAAUCUAUCCAUUCUAUCCAGAGUAUUUCUACCCACCGACUUCUGGCAUAAAAUACAAUCCAAAUUCCAGCAUUGAAGUUUCAUGUAACAAGCAAGCAUCACGUCAACAGCCUGGGCCACAUUGUCCUCCAGUGAACAUGAACUACUAGAACAAUGAUACCAUCAUGCUUACCCAGCCCUCCAAUACUGGAGCUGCAUGGUACGAUUUUUUCCACUGCUGGAGAAAGGCUCUUAUUGGUACCAAUCUCUGAACAAGCUUGCAAGUGCUAACUUGGGAAAAUGCAGAAGGAAUGCAUCCCUGGCUAAUUGUGAUGUCUCUGCUUCACCGCAUGUGUGCUGUGUUGAUCCGAUUGUUCAGGUCUCUUUCGGUAACUGAGGGUACAAGAUGCACCAGAAGAUGAAGAAAAUGAGGCAUUGAAAGAGGAAGUGAUUUUUCUGAGCUCCCAGAGCUGCAAUAAUGAAGACCUAAUAUUAUAAUAAUUUGGAAAGCCACUAUAUCAGGGCUCAAGUGAAUACAUUUUCUUUCUUUUUUUUUUUUUUUUUUUGGAAUCUCAGCUCUAACAAGCAAAGGAAAGAUCAAAAGGGAAUCUGGCGAAUCUGGCCUAAAAAGGCACUGAAAUCCAAAUGAACAGGUCAGAACAAGUCUUCCUUGCUGAGGGUAAAGAAUGCCAUCAAUGCCCAGAUUGAAGAUGUCUGCAUUCUAGGUUUGGAGGACGCUAGCAGAUUGCCUUUCUGUUUGUAUUCAUCUAAUCAGAAACUGAGUGAAAGAUGAGUUUACUGGAUCCUGCUAUCUUCUUAUUCUCCUUGAAAACACCUACAUUUGUUUUUUAUUCCAUGUGUGAGAAUGCCUUAGGGCUUCUCUAUAUAUCUUCCAAUUUUCAAAAGAAAUGCUUCCUUAUAAGUAAGUGCUUAUCUAUUAAAAAUUUUACUCUCUCUUCUUUCACCUUGAUUCUUUAGUUUCUUUCAAAUGGUUUGUAGAGCUCAAAACUCUAAAAAACCAAUACUCUAUCUUGCUGUCUCACUGGAGUUGCAUUAUAGGCAAAUCAAACUGUUCCUGUAAGUAGCCUCUCUACUUUUGCUUGUAACUUACCACAUUUUAAAAAUAAUAAACCUCUGUCCUUCCUAAAGUUUUUCCAAAUUAUUGGUGAUGUGAACUACAGCUAACUUAAAUGAUGCUAUAUACAGCAUCUCCAAGCAAAUACUAAGUGUGUGUGUGCAUGCAAGGGAAAUAACACAUGUGCACACAAAACACACACAUACACUUUCCUCUUUUUUAGUCCCCUUAUUACUAUUUUAUGGUAUGCAGCAUGGCAUCUCAAAGUGUCUAGUGUUAUUAACAUAUCUGUGCUGAAAGCCAAAAUGUCCCCCAGAGUUUCAUGACAUGGAUUUUAAUGCCUGAUUUUCUCAAAGUAAAAAGCACAGUUUAGACAUACAAUAUGGUAGAUCUUUUUAUUGAAAUCAAGCGGAUUCUCCAACUCCAUAGGGAAAUAAACAUGCUCAAUGGCCAAAAAGGG